GGGCCCGUGGCUCAGCCUGGCAGAGCGAUAAUAUGUAGCGUCAAGAGCGCCCGGCUGAUAACCGGGAGGUCCCGGGUUCAAGUCCCGGCGGGCCCA
rnacentral:tRNA from 1 species